AAAUUCUGGUAAUCGCUGCGGCGCUAGACGUCGUAGAGGAAAGUCCAUGCUCACACGGUACUGAGAUGUCCGUAGUGUUCGUGCUUACUGAAAAAAUAAGGUAAGGCAGCUGUUCAGGCUGACGGCGGAAGGAAAACCUAAGUCCUUGGAUAUGGUUGACACUUCCUGAAAGUGCCACAGUGACGAANNGAGGAAAGUCCAUGCUCGCACAAACUGAGAUGUUUGUAGUGUUCGUGCUUAGCGAAAUCAUAAGCUAAGGCCUCCAAUCUAUGUUGGAGUGACGGCAGAAAAAAAGGCUAAGGCGGAAACGCUAUGCCUGAGUAUUCUUGAAAGUGCCACAGUGACGAAGCUUGCUUGGAAACUUGCAAGGUGGAACGAGGUAAACCCCACGAGCGAGAAACCCAAAUUAUGGUAGGGGCACUCUCUUGAAGGAAUUGAACGGAUAGAGGGACGGAGCUUGCUCUGUAGAUAGAUGAUUACUACCUGGUCGUACGAGGCGCAAGCUGUUUGAGUACUCAGGAACAAAACAUGGCUUAUGGAA
rnacentral:RNase_P_RNA from 1 species